UCAGUCUAUGCAGAAUUACCAACUGUGUACUUGCUUGCAUGCCAAAUAAUUUACACGGUGAAUGUGUUGCAGAGUCAAAUUCAAGAGUUGUGCAUACAUAUAUUUAUGUGCAUACAUACUGCUUGACAUUUGGUAUAAUCACAGAGCUAGUGAUUUCUCGGUAAUAAAUUGUGUACCGCUUGGUAUAAAAAUUAAAUCGGAAAAAGGUCCCUCCUUACCAGAUAUGCGUGUGAUUGGUUUCCUGGCGAUUUUAUUCCGGCAUGUGAAGAUAACUACAAUAAAAAAGUUGUGAUCGACGGGAUGCAAUACCUUUUAACCUCAUGGAACACUUGUGGUCUGGAUGGCUAUUCACGGUUGCGACCGCUCGCUUAUCCCGGGUUCCAGACUGAGUGCUUCAUAACUUCAUAAUCUGCUACGCUAUCGAUAAUCGGGCAUCUUUCGACAACGUGGAACUCAAAUGGGUUCCCGAGCUGAGCCAGUACUGUCCCGACACGCCGUAUCUGCUCGUCGGGACGAAGAGUGACCUCCGCAGCA